rnacentral:rRNA from 1 species
GUAUGAUGGCCACACGAGGGCUUUACUGUCUCUUACUUCCAAUCCGUGAAAUUGACCUUCCCGUGAAGAGGCGGGAAUACAACAAUAAGACGAGAAGACCCUAUGGAGCUUUAAUUAACCGACCCAAAGAGACCCCACUAAUUAACCGACAGGAACAACAAAUCUCUACAUGGGCCGACAAUUUAGGUUGGGGUGACCUCGGAGAAUAAAGCAACCUCCGAGUGAUUUAAAUCUAGACUAACCAGUCGAAAGUAUUACAUCACUUAUUGAUCCAAAAACUUGAUCAACGGAACCAGGUACCCUAGGGAAAACCGCGCAAUCCUAUUUUUGAGUCCAUUUUGACCAUUGGGUUUACCAACUCCAUG